rnacentral:tRNA from 1 species
GGAGUUGUAGCUCAGAGGUAGAGCACUUGCCUUGCAAGUGUGAGGCACUGGGUUCGAUCUCAGCACCA